GCCUUCGUGGUGUAGUGGUCAGCACGCUUGGCACGUAUUCGAUAGGUUCGUGGUUCGAGUCCCGGCGAAGGCA
rfam:Stegodyphus mimosarum contig53681, whole genome shotgun sequence.